rnacentral:rRNA from 1 species
UACGAAGGGGGCUAGCGUUGCUCGGAAUCACUGGGCGUAAAGCGCACGUAGGCGGCUUCUUAAGUCAGGGGUGAAAUCCUGGAGCUCAACUCCAGAACUGCCUUUGAUACUGAGGAGCUUGAGUCCGGGAGAGGUGAGUGGAACUGCGAGUGUAGGUGAAAUUCGUAGAUAUUCGCAAGAACACCAGUGGCGAAGGCGGCUCACUGGCCCGGUACUGACGCUGAGGUGCGAAAGCGUGGGGAGCAAACAGG